rnacentral:rRNA from 1 species
GGGGGAUAUUGCACAAUGGGGGAAACCCUGAUGCAGCGACGCCGCGUGGAGGAAGAAGGUUUUCGGAUUGUAAACUCCUGUCGUUAGGGACGAUAAUGACGGUACCUAACAAGAAAGCACCGGCUAACUACGUGCCAGCAGCCGCGGUAAAACGCAGGGUGCAAGCGUUGUCCGGAAUUACUGGGUGUAAAGGGAGCGCAGGCGGACCGGCAAGUUGGAAGUGAAAACUAUGGGCUCAACCCAUAAAUUGCUUUCAAAACUGCUGGCCUUGAGUAGUGCAGAGGUAGGUGGAAUUCCCGGUGUAGCGGUGGAAUGCGUAGAUAUCGGGAGGAACACCAGUGGCGAAGGCGACCUACUGGGCACCAACUGACGCUGAGGCUCGAAAGCAUGGGUAGCAAAC